GGCAAUGUAAAGCAAAAAUAGCAACAGGUUAACUAAUACGGUAUGCAUUCCAUCUCAUAGUUAUUAAUCUCUUUUGACAUAACUAGUCAACAUCACUUAACUCUGAUGUGGAAUGUUCCUCCCACUGUCCCAGAAAAGUGAACAUCAACUACUCACCCACUGAUUGAAAAAUGUUCACAGGAAUAAUGUUCCUUAAUGCCAAAUCUACCUGCUUAAUAAGGUAUAUUUGUGAACUUGCACUCCAAAAAGGGAUGUGUUCGUGAUCAAACAAGGCCAAAGAUGUAACCCAAAACGGCAAAAAUCAUUAACCAACCAAGGAGGAAGGGAAAAAAAAAAAAAGAAAGAAACAAAGAAAAAUUCCCCCAUUGGAUCGACUAACUAUUUCCCUAAGAACCACCCACCAAUCGCCUUCGCAGCUCCUUCGCCAUGGCCUUCCUAGUGUCCUCCGUCCUGGACGCUGCAUCUCUAUUCUCCUGCGCCCUCCGAAGCAAAUACAGCGCACACUCGCCCACUGUGCCCCACACGAGGUACUUGCAUAUCUUUGGCGCCUCCACAUCCACCAUUACCCCUUCCGCCUGCUGUUCGCGAGCGCACUUCCCCGCCUGCACCAGGUGGCAGCUGAUGUCAUCAGCCAUGCCGAACAGCUGGCCAUAGGCCAUUUCGAUCUGAUUUGCCCCGCUGGUGCGCUUCUGUUCGUCUCGAAGCUUCUUGGCUCGUUCAACAGAGACGCGGUUGUGCGAGGCUAGGAGGAGAUCGACUUUGGGGAAUUGGGAGUACUUCUGCUCUUUCCUCUGGGCGCUGGUUAUCCUUGUGCCCCCGGAUGGUGGCAAAUAAUUAUGGGGUUUAAGAAUGUCUCCGUACUGUUGCUUAAUCAACGAUUGGGCAAUGCCGUCAUAUGCACCCCGGACGAGCUUGACGCCCAGUGCGAAUCCCUCCGCCUCCGCGAUGGCGAGAUGCUGUGAGAGAGUUGCCGGGG
rnacentral:sRNA from 1 species